UUACUGGUGAUCCAGUGGCUAAGACUCUGCACUUCCAAUGCAGAGGGCCCAGGUUCGGUCCCUGGUCAGGGAA
rfam:TPA: Bos taurus chromosome 1, whole genome shotgun sequence.